rnacentral:rRNA from 1 species
AGUGAACGCUGGCGGUAGGCCUAACACAUGCAAGUCGAACGGCAGCACAGUAAGAGCUUGCUCUUACGGGUGGCGAGUGGCGGACGGGUGAGGAAUACAUCGGAAUCUACUUUUUCGUGGGUGAUAACGUAGGGAAACUUACGCUAAUACCGCAUACGACCUACGGGUGAAAGCAUGGGAUCUUCCGACCUUGCGCGAUUGAAUGAGCCGAUGUCGGAUUAGCUAGUUGGCGGGGUAAAGGCCCACCAAGGCGACGAUCCGUAGCUGGUCUGAGAGGAUGAUCAGCCACACUGGAACUGAGACACGGUCCAGACUCCUACGGGAGGCAGCAGUGGGGAAUAUUGGACAAUGGGCGAAAGCCUGAUCCAGCCAUACCGCGUGUGUGAAGAAGGCCUUCGGGUUGUAAAGCACUUUUGUUGGGAAAGAAAAGCAGCAGGUUAAUACCCCGCUGUUCUGACGGUACCCAAAGAAUAAGCACCGGCUAACUUCGUG